rnacentral:tRNA from 1 species
GCGCGCUGGGCUCCGGUCGAGGUGCCGGGCUCCUCCUGCGAGGCCUCCUCAGGGUCCUCAGGGGUGGAGACGUGGGUCGUCUCCGUGGCGGGCUC